CUUAUUUGGCCGUAAGAUACCAAGAUGACGAGAUGAAGAAAGGAUUUGUUCUUGGUUUGGUGGUCAGCGGCUAUGCUUUAGGAACACUUAUCGGUCCAACUUUAGGUUCUGUCCUGUAUGGACUAGUAGGUCAGUCUGCUCCAUUCCUGGUCAUCUCUGCUGUAUUAAUUGCGUCUGUGGUUUUCAUUCCAGUUUUCAUGCCUGUGGACGUACGACCUCCUUUAACAGAGGAGGGGUCAUCCUCUCUUAACUUAAUAAAGGAUCCUUACACCAUG